GACGAACGCUGGCGGCGUGCUUAACACAUGCAAGUCGAACGGAAAGGCCUGUCCUUCCUUGUGUUGGACGGGUACUCGAGUGGCGAACGGGUGAGUAACACGUGAGUGAUCUGCCCCCAACUUGGGUAUAAGCCUGGGAAACUGGGUCUAAUUCCCGAUAGGACUGCAGGGUGGUGCCUGUGGUGGAAAACGUUUUUCUAGUGGUUGGGGAUGAGCUCGCGGCCUAUCAGCUUGUUGGUGGGGUAAUGGCCUACCAAGGCGGCGACGGGUAGCCGGCCUGGGAGGGUGGACGGCCACAUUGGGACUGAGAUACGGCCCAGACUCCUACGGGAGGCAGCAGUGGGGAAUAUUGCACAAUGGGCGGAAGCCUGAUGCAGCGACGCCGCGUGGGGGAUGACGGCCUUCGGGUUGUAAACUCCUUUCGACCGCGAGGAAGCCGCCUGGUUGGAAGGGUGGUGACGGUAGUGGUAGAAGAAGCACCGGCUAACUACGUG
rnacentral:rRNA from 1 species